rnacentral:lncRNA from 1 species
UGAUCAAAUUCCUCAACGACAACCCGCUCAUCCUCGCGUUGCAAAUGAAGUGCAAAUUGAGAAAAUCAUCAGCGACAUCAACAUUCCAGGUCCUCUCACAUGCUCAAGAGCUUCAAAUUUAUCUAACUUUUGUGCGCACGUUGCUUUCGUCUCUAUCACAGAGCCCACUAAGGUAGAUGAAGCAUUUCUGGAGCCUGAGUGGAUUCAAGCUAUGCAAAAGGAAUUACAUCAAUUCGAGCUCAACAACGUCUGGGAACUGGUCAAACGUCCAGAUCCUUGCAAGCACAAUAUCAUCGGCACAAAGCGGAUCUACCGCAACAAGCAAGAUGAAAAUGGCCUUGUGGCGAGGAAUAAGGCAUGACUUGUAGCGCAAGGCUACACACAAGUUGAAGGAAUUGACUUUCAUGAUACUUUUGCACCUGUUGCUAGACUUGAAGCAAUUCACAUAUUACUUGCUUAUGCUAACCAUCAUGAUAUCAUCUUAUAUCAAAUGGAUGUGAAAAGUGCAUUCCUCAGUGGUAAGCUUGAGGAAGAAGUAUAUGUUGCUUAGCCCCCAGGUUUUGAAGAUCCAAAGCAUCCUGACAAAGUCUUCAGAUUCAAUAAGGCCCUCUAUUGCCUCAAGCAGGCCCCACAGGCGUGGUAUGAUACUUUGAAGGAAUUCCUCAUGAAGAGAGGCUUCAAACCCAGUUCACUUGACCCAACUCUUUUCACUAGAUCUUAUGAUGGUGAAUUGUUUGUGUGCCAAAUUUAUGUUGAUGAUAUCAUUUUCGGCUGUACUGACUAAUGUUACAGUGAUGAAUUUGCCUAUAUGAUGAGUGAAGAAUAUCAAAUGUCUAUGAUGGGAGAAUUAAAGUUCUUCUUAGGUCUUCAGAUUCGUCAAUAGCGCAAUGGCAUAUUCAUAUCUCAGGAGAAAUACCUCAAUGAUGUACUGAGGAAAUUCGGCAUGCAAGAUUGCAAAGGAGUCAAAAUCCCUAUGCCCACAAAUGGCCAUCUAUGCAUUGAUGAAAAUGGUAUUAACUUCGAUCAAAAGGUAUACCGCUCCAAGAUUGGUUCUUUAUUGUACUUAUGUGCAUCUAGGCCAGAUAUUAUGCUUAGUGUUUGCAUGUGUGCCCAAUUUGAAGCUACACCGAAGGAAUCACACCAUAAGGCUGUGAAGCAUAUUCUUCGAUAUCUAGCUCACACACCAACACUUGGAUUAUGGUACCCCAAGGGCUCGGCCUUUGAUCUCAUUGGGUUUUCAGACUCUGACUAUGCUAGUGAUUGCUACCUCUUGAGCACUGCGUUGGAUUUCCCGAAGAGGAAAGGAUGAUGCAGCAAAGUAGCAUAAGUAUUUCCCUCAGUUUUUGAGAACCAAGGUAUCAAUCCAGUAGGAGGUUGCGCGCAUGUCCCCUAGUACAUGCACAAAGCAAAUAACUCCUCGCAACCAACGCGAUAAGGGGUUGUCAAUCCCUUCACAGUCACUUACGAGAGUGAGAUCUGAUAGAUAUGAUAAGAUAAUAUUUUUGGUAUUUUUGUGAUAAAGAUGCAAAGUAAAAUAAAAGCAAAGGAAAUAACUAAGUAUUGGAAGAUUAAUAUGACGAAGAUAGACCCGGGGGCCAUAGGUUUCACUAGUGACUUCUCUUAAGAGCAUAAGUAUUUUAUGGUGGGUGAACGAAUUACUGUUGAGCAAUUGACAGAAUUGAGCAAAGUUAUGAGAAUAUCUAGGCAUGAUCAUGUAUAUAGGCAUCACGUCCAAGACAAGUAGACCGACUCCUGCCUGCAUCUACUACUAUUACUCCACUCAUCGACCGCUAUCCAGCAUGCAUCUAGAGUAUUAAGUUCAUGAAAACAGAGUAAUGCCUUAAGCAGGAUGACAUGAUGUAGAGGGAUAAAUUCAUGCAAUAUGAUAAAAAACAUCUUGUUAUCCUCGAUGGCAACAAUACAAUACGUGCCUUGCUGCCCCUACUGUCACUGGGAAAGGACACCGCAAGAUUGAACCCGAAGCUAAGCACUUCUCCCAUUGUAAGGAAGAUCAAUCUAGUAGGCCAAACCAAACUGAUAAUUCGAAGAGACUUGCAAAGAUAACCAAUCAUACAUAAAAGAAUUCAGAGAAGAUUCAAAUAUUGUUCAUAGAUAAUCUUGAUCAUAAACCCACAAUUCAUCGGUCUCAACAAACACACCGUAAAAAGAAGAUUACAUCAGAUAGAUCUCCACAAGAGAGGGGGAGAACAUUGAUUUGAGAUCCAAAAAGAGAGAAGAAGCCAUCUAGCUAAUAACUAUGGACCCGAAGGUCUGAGGUAAACUACUCACACUUCAUCGGAGAGGCUAUGGUGUUGAUGUAGAAGCCCUCCAUGAUGGAUACCCCCUCCGGCGGAGCUCCGGAACAGGCCCCAAGAUGGGAUCUCGUGGAUACAGGAAGCUACGGCGGUGGAAUUAGGGUUUUCGCUCCGUAUCUGAUCGUUUGGGGGUACGUAUGUAUAUAUAGGAGGAAGGAGUACGUCAGUGGAGCANNNNNNNNNNNNNNNNNNNNNNNNNNNNNNNNNNNNNNNNNNNNNNNNNNNNNNNNNNNNNNNNNNNNNNNNNNNNNNNNNNNNNNNNNNNNNNNNNNNNNNNNNNNNNNNNNNNNNNNNNNNNNNNNNNNNNNNNNNNNNNNNNNNNNNNNNNNNNNNNNNNNNNNNNNNNNNNNNNNNNNNNNNNNNNNNNNNNNNNNNNNNNNNNNNNNNNNNNNNNNNNNNNNNNNCCUCCUUUGUUUCUUGUCAUAGGGUCCAAGUCUCCUAGAUCAUGUUCGGUGAGAAAAUCACGUUCCCGAAGGUUUCAUUCCGUUUGGACUCCGUUUGAUAUUCCUUUUCUUCAAAACCCUAAAAUAGGCAAAAAACAACAAUUCUGGGCUGGGCCUCCGGUUAAUGGGUUAGUCCCAAAAAUAAUAUAAAAGUGGAUAAUAAAGCCCAAUAAUGUCCAAAACAGUAGAUAAUAUAGCAUGGAGCAAUCAAAAAUUAUAGAUACGUUGGAGACGUAUCAGUGAUCGUGUGGACCGCAAGUCAACAUCUGGCACAUGCCAUUCCCUCGGACGAUCCUUGGUUUGUUGGUCCUCGAAGAAACAGAACUGCGUAUCACUGUCUACUGCUGAAGCUGAGUACAUUGCUGCUGGUUCUUGCCGUGCUCAAUUGCUAUGGAUGAAGCAAACUCUCAAGGACUACGGUGUCAACAUGAAGAAUGUGCCACUCUACUGUGACAAUGAGAGUGCCAUCAAGAUUGCUCAUAACCCAGUUCAGCACUCGAAGACAAAGCACAUUCAGAUUCGUCAUCAUUUUCUUCGUGAUCAUGUUUUGAAGGGCGACAUCUCUAUUGAGCAUGUGAAGACUGAAGAACAGCUAGCCGAUAUCUUCACUAAGCCCUUGGAUGAGAAGAGAUUUAGCAAGUUGCGGUGUGAGCUAAAUACCUUAGAAUCUUCAAAUGUUCUUUGAAAAGGACACUCAUCCUAACACUUAUGCAAAAUUGAUGACUUAGAUGUGCAACACAUGAAGAAACGUUUUUCUUCAAUCAAUGAAAACUAACCCUCUAAGUGUUAAGAAAUUAACGAAGAAUUUGAUUCUCAGAACCCUACGACAAUUGUACGCGGUGUCUGAAAUCAUCAUUCUUAUACGAUGGGUCACACCACCACCAAAAGUUGAAAAAUCCUCAAUCUGAGUUUUUCCUCACUUUGAAAUACCUCAGUUCGUCUUCAACUUGCAUUGUCUUCACUCUUUCCGUCGUUUUUUUCAUUGGCUAUAUAUAUAUACACAUAAACACUAUUUUGAUCACGGGAUCAGAAUAAUAUUCUGAUCACAACCUGACCUGCCCCGCCAGUAGUACAUUGAACUUCCCUGUGAACUAGGUUGAACUUCCGCCAACAUUGCCUAAAUGGGGCUUGCGAUAUACCGUUGGAAAGCUAUGGACACUAAUAUCAUGACCCAACUUAAAUUUUUGGCAAAAUAUAAGCGGUUUAAGAGCAGUUUUGAAAACCGUUUUUUCUUCGCACAAAAAACGUGAAUCGUAUUUUCGAUCGCAUUUCUAAACCGUUUAUCGGAAUGAGGCAUAUAAUAUGGCGUUGGAAAGCUACUGCAAAACCUCUCCUUCCACAUGUUGAAAGUUUUCUCUAAUUACCUAUGGUUAAAGAGUAAUUUGAAAAAAACAUAAAAUUUCGUAAACCGAACAGUUGAGUUCGUUUUUUUCGAUGUUAUUUCUAAACGGCUAAUCUAAUGGAGGCAUAUGAUAUGGCGUUGGAAAGCUUAUGAAAAUGCGCUACUUUUCCAUCUUGAAAGUUUUUUUCCUAAUUUUGAAUGGUUUAAGAGUAAUUUAAAAAAUGGUCCAAGUCCUACAAGUUCGUAUUUUCGAGCUAAUUUGUUAACCGUGCGUCCGAAUGCAGCAAAUGAUAUGGCGUUGGAAAGCUUGAACAAAUGCGAAACUCUUUGGUAUGUAUUGUUUCUCCCAAUUCUUUACGGUUUUAAUUCAGUUUCGAAAAUGGCGAAAAACAUAUUUUCGUCGUAAUUUCUACAAACUUUAUCGGAAUGGGGCAAACAAUAUACCGCUGAAAAGCUACGAAAAAUGUGAAACUUUUUCAUGUUGAUGGUUUUCUUUGUUUCCUAGCCGUUUUCAAGUAAUUUCAAAAACGGCGGGAUCAUGCGUUCUGCCUUUAUCGCGAAUCAGAUUCUUCAAAAAUGCACCGCGUGAAGAACCUGAACUUCUCGGCACGUGUACCUGAACUUCACUCUAUUUUUCACGUGAUUAUUUUGCUCGUAGGUCUCCAUCCACUGCUUGUAACUCUCCAUACAUUCACCGGAAUUGAGCAGGUGAUAUACCGGUGGAAAGCUGCUGUAAGCACGCAAGUUUCGCGUGUUGAUCUCUUUUCAUAGUCGCGACGAUUUUAAAAGUUUUUCAUCUAAAAUUCAUAUAGCAUAGUAAUUGAACUUCCUGCUAUUUUCACGUUGAACUUAUGUGACGUAUUUUUGUUUGUAAUUUUCUCAUCCAUUCGUUAGUGUUACACAAAUAAUAUUCCUUUUGUACAAACGUCUCUCACAAUAAUUUUUUUAACUUUCUCCGACCGAGGACUUGAACUUACACAAAUGAUAUUCCUGUCGUUUUGAGGUAAAUUAAAAAAUGGCGAGAUCAUGAUUUAUGCGUUAAUCGUGAACGAAAAUUCACUGUGUGAAGUAGUUGAACUUCUAGGGCAUGUUUGUUUGAACUUCACUCUGUUUUUUGACGUGCUGCUUUUUGCACCGCGUGAAGUAGUUGAACUUCUGGGACAUGUCUGUUUGAACUUCACUCAGUUUCACUUUAUUGUAUUUUUAUUAUAUGAAAUACACACCAUGUAGUACGUGAACUUCCGAUCGUUAUCACUCUGAACUUCUCUCUGGUUUGAGAGAAUUAUUUUAAAACACAAAAAACAACAUAUUUUUUUUUGUAUUUUCGACAUCUAAAUACACGGUGAAGCUCUCUCACAAGAAUUUUUUAAACUUUUCCUCCCCGAGCACUUGAACUUCUAGCAACCAUUUUUUCCGUAUAUGAGUUGUUUUUAAAAGUGCAAAAAAUAGCUUGUGUUUUUUAUUUUUUAACAGGUAAAUCCUAUGUUUUAAUAAUCUCCGAACUUCUCUGUUAUUUCAAUUUGAACUUCACCUUUUCAUAUUUUGAGUAAAGAAUUGUAUUCGAUUUUUAUACGGAAAAAAUCGAACAUGCAAAUACAAGGUGAACCUCUCUCGCAAGAAUUUUUGAACUUCCCCGGACAGAGCACUUGAACUUUUUCAACAAACCUUUUAAGCUUUUUGUUUUCUAUUUCUUAUAUUCCAAUCUGAAACUCAUUUCAUGUAUUAGUUGAACUUCCCAUUGUUUUCGUCUUGAACUUCUGUCACGUAUUUUUGUUUAACCUAUCUCACAAGAAUUUUGAACUUUCUCGGUCCGGGCACGUGAACUUCUAGCAACAAAUUGUGGACUUUGCCUUUUUAUUCUUUUCUUUCUCUUAUGAAAUGCACACCAUGCAGAACAUGAACUUUUGGCAGUUAUCAGUUUGAACUUCUCUCUGUUUCGCUUUAGUUAUGAAAAACUCUUAUUUUUUACAUAUAUCGAACCACUCUAACUUUUUUAUUUGAAUUUCUUUUAUGUAUUUUUAGAAAAAUGAAAAUUUUAGUUUUGUUAGAAACAUUAAACUUCUUCGUUAUUUUGAAUUGAACUUAUUGGUUCUAUUCUUUAGUACCAAAAAAUCGAGUUUUUAAUUAAAUAACAAACUUCUCCAUGUUUUUAAAUUGAACUUCUUGGUUUUAUUCUUCAGUAACGAGGAAAACUGAGUUUUUAAUGUACAUUGAAUUACUUUGUUUCUAAAAUUGAACUUCUUGACUUAAUCUUGAGUAUCGGGGAAAAUCUGAAUUUUUUAAAAAACACGGAAAAUCUUUUUUAAAACUUUUUUGUUAUUCCCUUAUUUUAAUUUGAACUUAUUAGUUAUUCUUUAGAACGAGAAUAAGAGGUUUUUAUAAACCUUGAUUUUUUUGUUAUUUUAAUUUGAACUUCUUAGUUUUAUUCUUUAGUAGUGAGGAAAAUCGAGUUUUUUGAACUUCUUUGUUUUGAAUUUUUGAAUUUCUUGAUUUUAUUUUUUAAUGAUGUGAAAAAUCCGAAUUUUUUAUAGACAUCGAACUUCACCAUUUUUUAAAUUUGAACUUCUUAGUUCUAUUGGUUAGUAAUGGGGAAAAUGCUUUUUUAUAUAAACAACGAUACAACACCGUUAUUUUAAUUUGAACCUCCAGUUUUUAUAGAAUGGGGAAAAUCAGUUUUUAUAUAAUCUUUUGAAAUGCUCCUCUUUUUAGUUUGAACUUCUCUGUUUUUUACAAAUGGGAAAAAUCCGUUAUAAAUAUUUUUUAGCUACUUUUUUAACUUCUUGCUCAAAUAUUUAACCCGUAAAGUUGUUGUAGGUUUUGUAGAUGUACAUUUCUAAUUUUCUUUACACAUGAUGGUAGCAUUGCGACUAUCAUAUUUUUUAUGCGAUAUGGUUUGAGGCUAAGGGAGGCCAUCUCAAUAAUACAUAGGAUGUGAGAUCGCAUACCCAUGAUUUGCACCCCACAAAAAACACAAAGAUCACACACCCCGUUGCUAAACUCUGACAUUCGUUCUGCACCUUAUGUGACCUUCUCCCUGCCUUUAUGGUGACAUUCAUCAGGAACGGGGUGUAAAUGAAGUUCAUUAGCAGCUUGUACAAUUUAGAGGACAAAUCACACAAACAAAAGAAUGGAGUACAAACAAAAGAGCGGCUUUUGAUAAACACCGAACCACUAAAUUGUUUAAAAUCUGAACUUGUACAUAAAUGAACAAUGAAUCUCUCUAUCCAUCACCAAAAAACACAUGAAUGAGUCUCUCAGGAUUUCACAAACACCGUACCCGGCACAUGUUAUGGGCAUCUAGUGAUAACUAUGCAUAAAAUGGCACAUCAAAAGGAAGAAAAUGUGUCAAGGUCAGCUGCAAUAACACACACAAAAA